GUUAAUUUGCCGGUGCGCCGUGCUCUGUGGUAAAGCCGGCCCCGGGUGGGUGCGUGGGGGGACUUUCCGGCUUUGCAGGUGGCAGGCGUUGUGUUUAAUAAAUAUCCGUGGACCUUUCUGUGCAAAUGGCCCCGUUCUUCUCUUCUUUGGUGCCCGUGGGAUCUGGUGGCAGCGAGUUCCGCUGUUUCGUUGGGUGGCGUACCAACAAAAAACUAAUUUCAGUUGCUCUGAAAAUCUGCCAGCUGAUAAUUAUAGCCGGCACCUCCUAAUUCUUGUGUUAUGAGAGAGGAGCUGCACCUGGACUCAGGAGAGCCAGGAGAGCUGGAUCUUGUACAAAGGAGGCACAGAAAACUAGUAUGUGGCGGCUGUGAUUCCAGGUUGACUAACAGAUAAGUCUAGAUGAUACAGAGGGUCACCUGAUCACAACUAUAAACUCUCAGAAGAAGAUAAGACUAAGC